rnacentral:rRNA from 1 species
GUGCCUGGGCGCAGCCUGAUGCAGCCCGCCGCGUGAGUGAUGAAGGCCUUCGGGUUGUAAAGCUCUUUCGGUGGGGACGAUAAUGACGGUACUCAUUUAUAAGGUGCCUGACGAAACCGUGCCAGCAACCGCCGUAAUAAAUACGUGCCAGCAGACGCGGUAAUA